rnacentral:snoRNA from 1 species
UUUGCAAGUGAUGAUCAACAAGGGACUUAAUACUGAAAUCUUAGUGAUGUCACCUUACUAUGUAUCUGAUAUAG